rnacentral:rRNA from 1 species
AUUGAACGCUGGCGGAAUGCUUUACACAUGCAAGUCGAGCGGCAGCGCGGGGCAACCUGGCGGCGAGCGGCGAACGGGUGAGUAAUGCAUCGGAACAUGUCCAUGUCGUGGGGGAUAGCCCGGCGAAAGCCGGAUUAAUACCGCAUACGCUCGAGAGAGGAAAGCCGGGGACCGCAAGGCCCGGCGCGAUUGGGUUGGCCGAUGUCCGAUUAGCUAGUUGGUGAGGUAAAGGCUUACCAAGGCGACGAUCGGUAGCUGGUCUGAGAGGACGAUCAGCCACACGGGAACUGAGACACGGUCCCGACUCCUACGGGGGGCAGCAGUGAGGAAUAUUGGGCAAUGGGCGAGAGCCUGACCCAGCAACGCCGCGUGGAGGAAGACGGCCUUCGGUUGUAAACUCCUUUGUACAGGAAGAGAGAGGACGGUACCGUGUCGAAUAAGUACACGGCUAACUACGUGCCAGCAGCCGCGGUAA